rnacentral:rRNA from 1 species
AACGAACGCUGGCGGCAGGCCUAACACAUGCAAGUCGAGCGAGGACUUCGGUUCUAGCGGCGGACGGGUGAGUAACGCGUGGGAAUGUGCCCUUCUCUACGGAAUAGCCCUGGGAAACUGGGAGUAAUACCGUAUACGCCCUAUUUGGGAAAGAUUUAUCGGAGAAGGAUCAGCCCGCAUUGGAUUAGGUAGUUGGUGGGGUAAUGGCCUACCAAGCCGACGAUCCAUAGCUGGUUUGAGAGGAUGAUCAGCCACACUGGGACUGAGACACGGCCCAGACUACUACGGGAGGCAGCAGUGGGGAAUCUUAGACAAUGGGGGCAAUCCUGAUCGAGCCAUGCCGCGUGAGUGAUGAAGGCCUUAGGGUUGUAAAGCUCUUUCAGCUGGGAAGAUAAUGACGGUACCAGCAGAAGAAGCCCCGGCUAACUCCGUG